GGGGGUUUAGCUCAGUGGCAUAAGCACCUGCCUUACAAUCAGGCGUUUGUGAGUUCAAUCCCCG
rnacentral:tRNA from 1 species